GGAGUCUGAUGUGAAGGAGGAGGUUGAUCAUCAGGAGUCAGAUGUGAAGGAGGAGGUUGAUCAUCAGGAGUCAGAUGUGAAGGAGGAGGUUGAUCAUCAGGAGUCAGAUGUGAAGGAGGAGGUUGAUCAUCAGGAGUCAGAUGUGAAGGAGGAGGUUGAUCAUCAGGAGUCAGAUGUGAAGGAGGAGGUUGAUCAUCAGUGAACCUCUAGGAUUGUGGCUGGGCUGGUGUUUACACUUCCAGCUUGGUCAUAUAUUUUGAUACAUUGAAUGUUGAUAUUGUGAACCUAUGUUAUAUAUUUGUACCUCCUGUUUAAUGAAGUGAUGUCACUAAGUACUUCCCCAAUAUAUACAGUGCAGUCGGAAAGUAUUCAGACCCCUUCACCUUUUCUACAUUUUGUUACGUUACAGCCUUAUUCUAAAAUGUAUUAAAUCAUUUUUUUCCCUCAUCAAUCUACACACAAUACCCCAUAAGACAUCACAUUGCCCCAUAAUGACAUCACGUUGACCCAUAAUAACAUCACAAUACCCUAUAAUGACAUCACAAUACCCCAUAAUGACAAAGCAAAAACAGGUAAAUAAAUGAAACAUUUUGAUUUUCUUUCAAAAACAAGGACAUUUCUAAGUUCACCCAUACUACGACAGGUCAGCUAGACCACUGCCACCACUGAUCGACGGAGAGUCAGUUAGAAUCCAGGAGCAUGGCCUCUGGAAACCAGCAGUCGUCAUCCAGCCAGCUGACACUGAACGUUCAUAUCACGUCCGCACAGCAGAAGGAGCAGUGUACCGCCGCAAUCGUCGUCACUUACUGAACACAAAAGAACAACACACUGAUGAGAUGAACUGUUCCCCUGAAAGAGAACGUGAUGGACUAAACACACACACAGCACAACAUACACCACACUUACCUGCAACACCACAAGAGCUGUUGACUGACACAGAAGCAUGCUCAACAUCAUAUCGCACAAGGUCAGGAAGAGAGGUCAAGCCCAGAGCUGUCCUCGACCUGUGAAAUGUCAAAGGGUGUAGGCGGAUCGCUGCCCUAAAAGAGUUCCAGACUGUAAACUUGUUAUUGAAAGUUCACUUGACAUGCUUUGGUAUUGUAUUUGUUUGAAAUGUUAAGAUGUAAUUUCUACAGUGAAGCUGAGUUGCUGAGAAUCCCUUGUUUGAAAAGUAACAGUAUGUUGGAUCAUUGUUUCAGAGUCUAUGUUGAUUAGGUUGGUGUAUUAUGCAAUAUAAAUGGUUACUUACCUUGAGUUCAAACUACAGAGCAUGUAUCCAAAAGAAAAGCUUAGAAUAUGUAAAACAUUUGUAUUUUGUUUUAAAAGAAGGGGGAUGUAAUAUUCAUAUGUGAAUACAUACUGAAUUAUAAUUGGAUGCAUUUUACCGCCGUAUCAUACUGUGCGGUGAUUGGUUAAGUCGUUCAAAGAGAAGCAUGUGUUGAUUGAUUCGUGUUUAAUGAGUGAGAAUUUAAAACCAACUUUACACCCAC
rnacentral:lncRNA from 1 species